GUGGGGAAUCUUGCGCAAUGGGCGAAAGCCUGACGCAGCCAUGCCGCGUGAAUGAUGAAGGUCUUAGGAUUGUAAAAUUCUUUCACCGGGGACGAUAAUGACGGUACCCGGAGAAGAAGCUCCGGCUAACUUCGUGCCAGCAGCCGCGGUAAUACGAAGGGGGCUAGCGUUGCUCGGAAUUACUGGGCGUAAAGGGCGCGUAGGCGGACAGCUUAGUCAGAGGUGAAAGCCCAGCGCUCAACCUUGGAAUUGCCUUUGAUACUGGCUGUCUUGAGUUUGGUAGAGGUGAGGUGAACUCCGAGUGUAGAGGUGAAAUUCGUAGAUAUUCGGAAGAACACCAGUGGCGAAGGCGACUCACUGGCCCAAUACUGACGCUGAGGCGCGAAAGCGUGGGGAGCAAACAGGAUUAGAUACCCCAGUAGUCC
rnacentral:rRNA from 1 species